GCCCCAGUAGCUUAAUUUCAAAGCACCGGCUUUGUAACCCGGAGACUGAAGGUUAAACUCCCUCCUGGUGC
rnacentral:tRNA from 1 species